rnacentral:rRNA from 1 species
CACGUAGGGGGCAAGCGUUGUCCGGAUUCAUUGGGCGUAAAGAGCUCGUAGGCGGUUCGAUAAGUCGGGUGUGAAACCUCCAGGCUCAACCUGGAGACGCCACCCGAUACUGUCGUGACUAGAGUCCAGUAGGGGAGCGUGGAAUUCCUGGUGUAGCGGUGAAAUGCGCAGAUAUCAGGAGGAACACCAGCGGCGAAGGCGGCGCUCUGGGCUGGAACUGACGCUGAGGAGCGAAAGCUAGGGGAGCGAACAGG